rnacentral:misc_RNA from 1 species
AUUUGAUGUUGAGGCUGAUAGAAAAACACUCUCGUUACAGGGUCACACCAAAGUGGUGCGUUCUGUGUGUUGGGACGCCAACGGUGAAUUCUUGGCAUCUGUUGGUGAGGAUUCUGUGAAGGUGUGGGCAUUAGCAUCAGGGGAGUGCAUUCAUGAGCUACGAAGCUCUAAUGGGAAUGACUACCACUCUUGCAUCUUUCAUCCAAGCUAUUCGAAUCUCUUAGUCAUCGGAGGUUAUCAGUCAUUGGAACUGUGGAAUUUGAUGGGAAACGAGACGAUGACUGUCCAGGCACAUGAAGGUCUUAUAGCAGGAUUGGCGCAAUCACCUGUAUCGGGAAUGGUCGCAUCUGCAAGCCAUGACAAAUCCGUCAAG